rnacentral:lncRNA from 1 species
CGAAACCCAUAUGAAAAUAAGCAUGGAAACCCCUGAGACCAAACCCUCUCUAUUCAGCAACCCUUUGUUCAGUGUUACUAUGUGUAAGACACUCGGCUGUGCCAGUGACCAUGGAAAUAUCCACACUAGUCAAGCACAGUCUGGUGGAGGGAUCAGGUACACUCACACCUGACUCUACUGAAGGAAAAGCCGGCCAAAUCAUCACCUACUGAUGCCUGCAUGGGAGGUGGGACCAGAGAUAUAGACCAGCUGGUGACUAAGAAGACAAGACAGGAUGGUUGUUCUUCCCAGAGAUGGGGCGAAGAUGAAUCCCAGUAGCUUGGACUCCACAGAGAGAAGAGAUUACUUGCUCCCCAGUAAUUCCUUCAAGAGUCCAGGGUUGAUUCUCAAUGAAAGCUCUGGUCACCCGUCGUGGAGGCAAAUACACUGGCCAGAGGAAGACAAUCCCCACCCUUGGACACAGAAGGGAGAGUUGGCACC